rnacentral:rRNA from 1 species
UACAGAGGGGGCAAGCGUUGUUCGGAAUUACUGGGCGUAAAGGGCGCGUAGGCGGCCGUCUAAGUCAGACGUGAAAUCCCUCGGCUCAACCGGGGAACUGCGUCUGAUACUGGGUGGCUUGAAUCCGGGAGAGGGAUGCGGAAUUCCAGGUGUAGCGGUGAAAUGCGUAGAUAUCUGGAGGAACACCGGUGGCGAAGGCGGCAUCCUGGACCGGCAUUGACGCUGAGGCGCGAAAGCCAGGGGAGCAAACGGG